UAUAAAAAAAACUAAUAUCUCAGAGAUAAUAGCGUAAGGUUAAAGAGACUGGGUGACUUGAAUUUCCACUUACAAGAUUUAUAUCUUUCCAGGUCACGGAAAUUUUGAAACAAGAGGGCAGUUCUCAAGGGGAAUAGGACUCGCAACUCGAUAAUUUCUACAUGAAAAAUCUUCUCGAUUGUGAUUUAUAUCCUCCGUACCCAUACAGAACACCGUAUCUCGAGAACACUUAGGGAUAGCUUUCGGGGAUAGUAGUAUCAGGGUGAAGGGACCGCGACCUGGGCAGCUCGAUUGAUCAGCUCGGUCGACCGAAUAUUGCGAAAGACCGAUGGGAGAUCGUAGAAACCGUCGCUCGUAUUUGCCCCCGGUGGUGGAAGAAAGGACGAGAGGAAAACGACGACGGGGUUUGGUACCCUCAACUCUCUAGCUCUGAAGGGAGGAGGAUGGAUCCGGGAUGGGGGUUGGUAAGAAGCAGGAGGAUGGCGUGGCAAAGGGACGUCGAAGGGCGAAAGAGGAGACGUGGAAAAGAUGGAGGGAGAGAAAGAGAGAGAGAGAGAGAGAGAAAGAUAGAAAGUUCGUGCUAUAAAGUAUUGACUGACUGUUGUACAGCGAACUAUAUGUACCGGCUCUAUAAUACCGGCAGACUCCACUCGGCCCUCGCCUCCAGCCAGGAGGAAUAAUGCGACUUCCGGAACCGAGGAAAUACCUUUCAGCUUUUUAAGAGCUCCAUGCCGAGCGAGAAUCCGGCCGAAAGGAAAAAUAAAAAAAAA